GAUGAACGCUGGCGGCGUGCCUAAUACAUGCAAGUCGAGCGAACAGACGAGGAGCUUGCUCCUCUGACGUUAGCGGCGGACGGGUGAGUAACACGUGGAUAACCUACCUAUAAGACUGGGAUAACUUCGGGAAACCGGAGCUAAUACCGGAUAAUAUAUUGAACCGCAUGGUUCAAUAGUGAAAGACGGUUUUGCUGUCACUUAUAGAUGGAUCCGCGCCGCAUUAGCUAGUUGGUAAGGUAACGGCUUACCAAGGCGACGAUGCGUAGCCGACCUGAGAGGGUGAUCGGCCACACUGGAACUGAGACACGGUCCAGACUCCUACGGGAGGCAGCAGUAGGGAAUCUUCCGCAAUGGGCGAAAGCCUGACGGAGCAACGCCGCGUGAGUGAUGAAGGUCUUCGGAUCGUAAAACUCUGUUAUUAGGGAAGAACAAAUGUGUAAGUAACUAUGCACGUCUUGACGGUACCUAAUCUGAAAGCCACGGCUAACUACG
rnacentral:rRNA from 1 species